GGUCGUAGGUGUAUUGUUGUUGUUGCUGUUUGGGUGUUGUUUUCCUUUUGGUUAUAGGUAGGCGAGGCGGGGCUUGAUGGCACUCCAACACACCUGCGACGCAUCGGACGUCAUCUGUGAGCGCUUUUAGGGAGCAGAGUCACGGACGUCUGGUGUCGGAGUAUUAUCGCUGUCACAAGUGCCUGUUCCAUCGCCUGCCCGCCUACCUAGGAUUUUCUGUUGGCUAUUCUGGAUCCGCGACGGAGUGCUACGUACCAUCAGGCGGCGAUCACCGCAGUGGUUUUGGUUUAGGUGGUCAAGUAACUCCGGUGUGUCUGCUACCUACCUGUAUGCUUCGGCUCCGUCUCAUCGCCUCGGUGUUUUUCUCCUGGCACGUUUUAUUUUAUCACUGUAUAUAGCCCUUUCCCUUGUAAAUAUUCCCCCC
ensembl:lncRNA